UGGUAAAAUCCAGCUGAAAACACCGGUUCACAUUCAAUCACCAAAGUUAAGCAGUGUCGAGCCCGAUCAGUACUUAGAUUGGGGACCGCUUGGGAACACCGACUACUGUA